rnacentral:rRNA from 1 species
ACCUACGGGGGGCAGCAGUAGGGAAUUUUCGUCAAUGGGCGCAAGCCUGAACGAGCAAUGCCGCGUGCACGAGGAAGGUCUUCGGAUCGUAAAGUUCUGUUGAAGGGGAAAAAGAGCGGAGAGAGGAAAUGGUCUCCGAUUGAUAUUACCCUUCGAGGAAGUCACGGCUAACUACGUGCCAGCAGCCGCGGUAAUACGUAGGUGGCGAGCGUUAUCCGGAAUGAUUGGGCGUAAAGGGUGCGUAGGCGGCCUGCUAAGCCUGGAGUGAAAGGUACCGGCUCAACCGGUACAGGCUCUGGAAACUG